CAUGACGGGGGCCCGCACAAGCGGUGGAGCAUGUGGUUUAAUUCGAAGCAACGCGAAGAACCUUACCAAAUCUUGACAUCCUUUGACAACUCUAGAGAUAGAGCUUUCCCCUUCGGGGGACAAAGUGACAGGUGGUGCAUGGUUGUCGUCAGCUCGUGUCGUGAGAUGUUGGGUUAAGUCCCGCAACGAGCGCAACCCUUAAGCUUAGUUGCCAUCAUUAAGUUGGGCACUUUAAGUUGACUGCCGGUGACAAACCGGAGGAAGGUGGGGAUGACGUCAAAUCAUCAUGCCCCUUAUGAUUUGGGCUACACACGUGCUACAAUGGACAAUACAAAGGGCAGCGAAACCGCGAGGUCAAGCAAAUCCCAUAAAGUUGUUCUCAGUUCGGAUUGUAGUCUGCAACUCGACUACA
rnacentral:rRNA from 1 species